rnacentral:lncRNA from 1 species
CUGAGCCGUGCCGCAAGGCUGGGGCAUGCCUCCUGCUCACCGUGCUGGACUACGACACGCUGGGGGCCGACGACCUGGAAGGCGAGGCCUUCCUGCCGCUGCGUGAGGUGCCCGGGCUGAGUGGCUCUGAGGAGCCUGGUGAGGUGCCUCAGACCCGCCUGCCCCUCACGUACCCCGCACCCAACGGGGACCCAAUCCUGCAGCUGCUGGAGGGCCGGAAGGGUGACCGAGAAGCCCAGGUCUUUGUGAGGCUGCGGCGGCACCGGGCCAAGCAGGCCUCCCAGCAUGCCUUGCGGCCGGCACCGUAGCCGUAGAGGUUUGCGGUGGGGCUGGGUCCCCGGUGGGGACUUGCAAGGGCUUUCCUGUAGGGUCUGGGGCUUCCCCGCCACAUCGCGGCCCUCCAGCCUGGCCUAACACUUGGGGAGCCCCAGCAUGCGGAGUGCCCAGAGUGCAGACCUCCCCUGCCUCCCAUGGUGAUGGGGGCUCAGCAGCGACAUCUCUACUCCCGCCUCCCUGCCUCCAGCCCUGGCUGCAAUGUCUCUACCACAUCCCAGCACCAGGGGGAGCAAACCCUGCCCCUGCCCGCCUCUCAGAAAAGCUGCUGUGGUGGGCAGGGGAUUGGGCCAUCUGUCUCCUGGCCCUGGCCCAUCUGCCUCCUGGCCUUCCUGUUCCAGCCACUGGGGUGGGGGCCAGGUUCACUGGGACCAGGGCUACAGGCACAGAGUCUCCUGGAAAAGGGAGAGGGGACCCUGCCAAAGAUGAGGCUCCAGCUGCCCUGGGGGGAGGGUGGUGGCCAUUACUAGAGGGGGCCUGGGUCCUCUCCCCAGGGGCUGCCAGCAUCCAGGCCAGGAAGCCUGGAGCCAAGAACCUUCUGGCUCUGAGGGAGCAAGAGCUGGCAGGCGGCAGGGCUGGCACAGACAGACGGAAGCAGAAAGGACAGUUUGGCUGCUGUGUCUGCUGCGCACGCCCCCUCCCCGGACAGCACCUGCCACCUAGAAACUUUCUUAGC